rnacentral:RNase_P_RNA from 1 species
UUGGCCGGAAGAUGGCGUGGGGGGCAACUCGCAGGCCCAAAGUGACCUUUCACCCCCGGGAAGGUCUGAGAUAAGGCUCCAGAAGGUUCGAGAAGGACCUCGCUCGGAGGGGCGAGGGGCUGUGCCAGAAAAUGCUUACCCUGAGGGGUUCGGAAACAGCCCCGGCCAGCGAAUCUAAGUGCGAUCGCCCAAAGAACACAAUUCAGACUAGUCUCUGGCCAA